rnacentral:rRNA from 1 species
UUGUGGCUGGGGGUGAAAGGCCAAUCAAACCGGGAGAUAGCUGGUUCUCCCCGAAAGCUAUUUAGGUAGCGCCUCGUGAAUUCAUCUCCGGGGGUAGAGCACUGUUUCGGCAAGGGGGUCAUCCCGACUUACCAACCCGAUGCAAACUGCGAAUACCGGAGAAUGUUAUCACGGGAGACACACGGCGGGUGCUAACGUCCGUCGUGAAGAGGGAAACAACCCAGACCGCCAGCUAAGGUCCCAAAGUCAUGGUUAAGUGGGAAACGAUGUGGGAAGGCCCAGACAGCCAGGAUGUUGGCUUAGAAGCAGCCAUCAUUUAAAGAAAGCGUAAUAGCUCACUGGUCGAGUCGGCCUGCGCGGAAGAUGUAACGGGGCUAAACCAUG